rnacentral:rRNA from 1 species
CCCGCUGAACUUAAGCAUAUUAAUAAGCAAAGGAAAAGAAAUCAACUGAGAUUGCCUUAGUAAUGGCGAAUGAACCGGCAAAAGCUCAUUGCUGAAGCGUGUUAAAUUCACUUUUGACAUGCAUUGUAGCAUUUGGGGUAACUUUUGUAUGGUGCCUGUUCGUGUGAGUUCCUUUGAUCAGGGCUUUAACCAUAGAAGGUGCUAGUCCUAUAAUCACGAAUAGUUUUGUGCUAUACAUUGUAUACCUUUCGAGUAGCGUAGUUUGAGAUUGCUACGCCAACGUGGGACGUAAACUUGUUCCAAAGCUAAAUAUUAUAACGAGACCGAUAGCGAACAAGUACCGUGAGGGAAAGUUGAAAAGCACUCUGAAGAGAGAGUUAAAUAGUACGUAAAACCGUACAGAAGAAAACGAAUGGCCGCAUUCAUCAGAUUACUUUGAAUUCAAUUCGAUCUCUAUAUGAUGGUAAUACAUGUCGAUUUGGAACUUCAACAGUCCAUCGAUUUGUUCUUGCCUAGAGUCGGAUGCAUUUUCAAAGUAUUAACUGAACCUGGAUCUAUAACAUUGAAAGCUAGUCGAAUCAGUCUAUUUUGGUAGCGAGUAUUACUCGUGUUAAAAAUAUGACUUGCAUAAAUAACAAAUUCGACUUGGCGUUAUAGGUAAACAGACAUGUUCUUUGAUUUCAGUACUUUCGAGUACGGCAUGCCAUGAGCAUUGUUUGUGUCACAUGAGUAACUAAUAUUUAACCAAUAUUAGUUUUAUUCAUUGUCGAUGCCUAAUGUUUUGUGGCUGUCGAUGAAAUCGGCAAGUCUACAGGAGUUUUGAAUGCCGAGUUAUUCGACCCGUCUUGAAACACGG